rnacentral:tRNA from 2 species
GUCUGCGUAGUAUAUAUUUAUUAUUCUGGUCUUGUAAACCAGGGAAGGGGAAGAACCCUCCCCCGAAGACU